UCACAAUCUGCUACCGUCAAUACAAUCAAAUCUCAACCGUCAGAUCUACACAGCCCUAUUAUAUAAGAUAGGUUUGGGUUUUCUUCUUUAUGUCAUUCAUCUCCUUCUUCCCUUAUCCUUAUCCUUUUGUUUUCGAUUAGCUCAGAUCUUGUUCACGCGUUUUCUCUGAUACACCUAUUCUCCAUAGAUCUGUAUGGAUCCGAUCCAGAGCUGCAUGCCGAUGGUGCUUUUGUUCGGGUUCUACAAGGAUCUGACGCUUGUUGCCUCAGAUCUAACGUUCAGAGGUACGGCAGAGAAUCGGUUACUGGAUGGACCCAGCGUAGAUCCAUAGAGAAACCAAUCUGUUGCCGCUUUUCCCUAGUUGAUAUCUCCGUCUCCAGAUCUACCAUGAUCGAUUGCAGCGAAGCUCGUUCUGGCGAAGAACUCUGUUACCUAUGUUGCAGAUCUCAGAAAUUGUAAAAGAAAAUUAGUGUAUGCUUUGAAGUUAAAGAGGAGGACGAGAGUGUGUGGAUGUAGAUUACGGGAUGAAGAACCUCAAUAACGCUGAGCGGGUUUGAGGUUUGGAAUCCUGAGUGAUCUUGUCAUCCGACCUUUGCCAUGACAGGUGCGCUUGCAUGGCAGGUCAAACAAAGUUAAUAAAAAAAGAAUUUAUUUGGUUUUUGGGGGUGAAUCGCACGGGAGUUGCCCGGGGUCACCCCCUUGUGUGUGGUGUGUGCUUCCUUUUCGUUCUGCUCCCUUUUUAUUACCUAUCUGUUGCUCUUUCAACACCGGACGGGAUGGAAACACCAGCAGAUACGCAUGCUCGUACGCUCCAAUAAUUGAGGUAUCAUCUUAACAGUUAUUCGCAUUAGAUCAUUAUAUACUUACGUAUGUACCGUUAAAAUUCGAUGGAAAACCUAAUUUCUAAUUACAUCCCCAACUUAAAAGGACUGGUAAAUUAAAUAAUAGUAGCAAUUAGUUUUUAUCAGUAGUUUUAUUUUCGUACAUGGGAUAUAUAUGCUUUUUAUAAUUUACCUAAUAUACAUCGAAGCAACAUCAUUGUGCAAAUUCUAACACCUUAAUUUUUAUUAAUAUUUUGAAUGAAAACAGCUCAUUAGUUAUCGCUUGUUCAGUUAGUUUAUAGUACAAUCUUCGUUUUUUUUUCAUAUUUUAUAAAUAAUAUAGUACAAUUGGCUUUUUAGUUUAUAGUAUAAUCUUCGUUUUUUUAAUUCUAUAUUAACAAUGGAAAUGUGCACCAACAGUUUUGUAAUUUGGUAUUAAUUUCAUUCAUACUCAUCGAGCUAUUAAUUUAGGGGCAGUUAUGCAUUUUAUAGCUCUACUACCGGUUUUUGUAACAAUGAUGUACUUCACAAUGAAAAGGAAGAAAACACUGGCUGUAAAAGUUUGUAGUUUAGAAACAUGUUCUCUUUGAAGCCGAUGUUGUCAGGAAUAUUGCUCGAGGAAAUCUGGCGUUGAGAAGGAUGUCGCAUUAACAUUUUCGAGUUGUUUCAACCCGGCUGCUUUGCGAUUUCGAAGCGUUGAAGAAACGUCAACAUUGGCAGUGGAGCGAAGCUUUCACAUGAUGAUUUUAGUAUGGUUUUCUAGUCUUUCAUCAAUAUAUUAAGUGUGCGACUUAUCUGACGAUUCAUGCAAUACAUAUCUUGGAAUUAGUUUUUUUCGAAUGCUGGACACUAGCUUUGGAAUUGGUAAUAUACAGCUGGUGCCCCUUGCGGAACAUUUAGUGGUGUUAGUCGAAUGUGGUGAUAAUUUCCGUGAGAUGUUUCUUCUGGAGGAUGAUGGCUUUUUGUGCUUCUGAAAUUCGGCUUUUCUGCUUAAAAAUGGUCUUUAGAUAUCUUUGUUACAUUACGAUAGCUUCUUGAUUUUUCAAAUGCAGCGAAGAAUGUCACUAAUUUUUGGUGUGAUAUAUAUAUAGUUGUUUAGAAUUUGGAUAUUAAUCUGGUUUGUUUGCAAGUAUUUAUGAAAAAUGAGAUUUAAAUUUGAUGAUUUUAUAAGUAGGUUUAUGUUUUUUGCUAUGGCUGAAAAUAUCUUCAAAUAAUUCAUGAGAAUGAAUUUUGAUCAGAAUAUUUUUUUUUCAGUGGAUUUUUCAAAUAGAUAAUCUAAGUAUAUUUCUACGGAUCAUAAACGAUAUGCUAAUUACAAAAUGUUGGUUUUUUGGUCGGCAGAUUCAAAAAUUAGGUUUUAUUUUGGUAUAUUUGCCCAAAUUAAUAUUGGUAAAUAUGCCAAAUUUGUUCAAUGUUCCAAUGUUUUAAAUAACCAAGGCUAAUCAUAAUUCCCGAUGGAUCUUCUCAAUGUAUUGAAAAAAAAUUGAGUGUAAAGUAUGGUUUUUAACUCUCUUUUUGUUUUCACUUAUAUAUUUUUUUUAUUUAUAAAUAAAAUUAAUGGUGAGAGAUUAUAUUUUAUUUUUUCGAUUUUUCAAAUUGGUGUGUUAAAUUUCUAAAUCUAAUCUUUGAUUCCUCCGUAGUCUCUGGUUUUGAGAUUCCUUGGUAAAUUAUUUCUAAAUUGUAAAUAAAUUAAUGUAUUUUAAUUUUUCAUCUAUAAUUUAUUAAUAUCUUUUGAGUCUUUUUCUUAA